rnacentral:rRNA from 1 species
GGCGUAAGGGCUCGUAGGUGGUUGAUCGCGUCGGAAGUGUAAUCUUGGGGCUUAACCCUGAGCGUGCUUUCGAUACGGGUUGACUUGAGGAAGGUAGGGGAGAAUGGAAUUCCUGGUGGAGCGGUGGAAUGCGCAGAUAUCAGGAGGAACACCAGUGGCGAAGGCGGUUCUCUGGGCCUUUCCUGACGCUGAGGAGCGAAAGCGUGGGGAGCGAACAGGCUUAGAUACCCUGGUAGUCCACGCUGUAAACGGUGGGUACUAGGUGUGGGGUCCAUUCCACGGGUUCCGUGCCGUAGCUAACGCUUUAAGUACCCCGCCUGGGGAGUACGGCCGCAAGGCUAAAACUCAAAGGAAUUGACGGGGCCCCGCACAAGCGGCGGAGCAUGCGGAUUAAUUCGAUGCAACGCGUAGAACCUUACCUGGGUUUGACAUGGAUCGGGAGCGCUCAGAGAUGGGUGUGCCUCUUGUGGGGUCGGUUCACAGGUGGUGCAUGGCUGUCGUCAGCUCGUGUCGUGAGAUGUUGGGUUAAGUCCCGCAACGAGCGCAACCCUUGUUCACUGUUGCCAGCACGUUAUGGUGGGGACUCAGUGGAGACCGCCGGGGUCAACUCGGAGGAAGGU